rnacentral:rRNA from 1 species
GACGAACGCUGGCGGCGUGCUUAACACAUGCAAGUCGAACGAUGAAACCUAGCUUGCUAGGUCGAUUAGUGGCGAACGGGUGAGUAACACGUGACUAACCUGCCCCUUUCUCUGGGAUAACGCUCCGAAAGGAGUGCUAAUACCGGAUACUCACACCGAGGCACAUGCCUUGGUGUGGAAAGUUUUUCGGAAAGGGAUGGAGUCGCGGCCUAUCAGCUUGUUGGUGAGGUAACGGCUCACCAAGGCGACGACGGGUAGCCGGCCUGAGAGGGGGACCGGCCACACUGGGACUGAGACACGGCCCAGACUCCUACGGGAGGCAGCAGUGGGGAAUAUUGCACAAUGGGCGCAAGCCUGAUGCAGCGACGCCGCGUGAGGGAUGAAGGUCUUCGGAUUGUAAACCUCUUUCAGCAGGGACGAAGCGAAAGUGACGGUACCUAAAGAAGAAGCACCGGCUAACUACGUGCCAGCAGCCGCCGUAA